ensembl:lncRNA
UUGACAAUUCUUUUGCUUUCCCCAUGAUUUAGAAGCCAGAAACAUCAGUGCAGCACUGGAUGAAAGAUGAAGGGCCUGUCAAGAGCCCAGAAACUCACUGACCUUUUAUACACACACACGGAUUACAAGCAAAUAGAUCACAGGUGAGGAUGGUUACCUUUAGUAGCCAUUCAAACCCGUUUGUGUCAACUUGUGUGCCUGUUAUCAGGCCAAACCUCCAGGGUAUGUAAACUUUUGAUCAGGGCCAUUUGGGUACUUUCUAUUGUCAUUAUAAUUUAAAAAGAAUAAACACAGUUGUUUGAUAAUAAUAAUAAAAAAAACUAUAGCACAACACUAACCAUGAGUGAAAGAAAGGUUUUUGUGUUAUCAUUCAUAUUCUCUGAAAAAUGGCCAAGAAAUCAUAAAUUCUGCCAGGCUAUGUAAACUUAUGAGCACAACUGUACAUAGGCUGGCUGGUAAAGGUUAACAGUUAUCCAUUAAUAUAUGGUCAGUUUGCUGCAUUCACAUUGUUCGGGAACAUUUUCAGGACUUGAACUUUGAUGUGUUCACAUUAGAAUUAGAAUUCCAAGUUAAGAUGUUACUUUUUACACACAUUUUACAUCUUCAGCCAUUAACUCAAAAUCCAGCACGUAGUGCACAGAUAGUACUUUGCCAUAGAUUUAUGAUCUCACAACCAUAUUUAUUUGAAAGGAACAAGCCAUUAGCUUCAUUGAGGAAAUCAACUUUCAGGAUGUCUGAGUGCUAAACUGCACCUGCAGUAGAUUUUAAAGCCUCUCCCAUAAGACAUGAAUGCCGCUUUUUCAAUGAAGACAGCCUCUGUCAGUCCGUCCAAAUGGUCCUGCUGAGAAGAACUUCCUCUGGUAUCUUAUUGCUAUGAUCCAGCAGAAUAGGAGAGCUUCUCUCCUCCUGCAUUAGUGUUUCACAUUUACACAGGCCUUUUUUUAUUUUUUGCACAUGUACAAAUGCAGGAAUUUAACGAUGUGCUUUUUGUAUAUGCAACAUGGUCAAGCACAUGUGUUUUUGUUGUUGGGAUGAACAGCAGGUUUAGGAACACCUGCUAAUUUAUAUUAUUCUCUUGUAUGAGCACCAUAUUGUUUUUUGUUACAUUUGUUACAUUUUUAGAAAGAUCAAACAGCCUGACAAGGUUCAGUGAUGUAAUUCCUGGAAGCACAAGUCACAUUAUUUUUCACUUUAAUGAACUGGAAUUCUUAAAACUACAAUUGAUAAGGUUUAAAGUGUAAACACAAAGAUGUCAUGCUCCAUCUCACUUUGCUGAGAUGCUGUCAAUACAUAUCAUGUGUCCUGUGGACCCUUGCUAAGAUGUGGUAUUGGGUACGGACAGAACUUUUUUGACACAUUAAUCCAUGAUUUGCAAACAGUUUUUUGGCACAUCCAGUACAACAUUAGUUACCAUUUGGAGUAUUUCAGUCCAGUGUGUCCUGUUCUCUGCCUCUUUCAUCUUUGAUUAACUCUUAAUCGUCAUCUGUCUAGGGCCCCUUUCAGACGGGCUUUCCUUUCCAGUAAGCUGACAGCAUCUGAACGUGUUGACUUCAUGUCUGAAUUAGCACCCUGGUAACUUUUCCAUGAAAGUUGUGAUGGGAACCUUAUUAUAUCUGAUUUAUUAACAUGCAUUUUACUCUGAACAAAGCACAAGUCUAAAAUGUAUGUGGUCGCAUCAACAAAUAUUCAAGCUUAAGCAGUGUACUUCAAGAUAUGUGAAGUGAUUCGAGGAAGACUUUUUCCACCUUUUAGCACCAUGAUUGGUCAACAAAUAUGUUGACCAAAAUAUGUUGACCAACUCUGUCCUUUGUCCAGAGCGCAAAGGACACAGUGUGGUACCAAAAUCACAAAACACCUUUCUCAUUCACUCUUCUCUAAAAUUUCAUAUCCAUUGCAAACAAAAGUGUCCAGAAGAUGGACAUUUCAGAAUUUAGGAAUACACUUGCUAUAGUCUCUGUCUUUAUCUCAACAAGACAGAUCAGGUCAUAUUAUUGAUACUCACGAAUAAUGAAUGUAAUCUAGGUUUUCACAAGGAGACUUUCCUCUGGGUUUAAAUACCUGCAGCAUCAGACAGCAGGAGGGUUUAUACGAGCAUCUUUGAGAGAGAGAGUUUCAUACAUUUACGCACAUGGAACAGCAGCAGUAACUUUAUCAAUUACUUGUAAUUAUUAAUUAUCCCCAAUAUGGAGACAGGAUUAUCAGGAUCCAACAAGUCACAGUUUGAACUUCUCCUAACAUCAGACAGGUGAGCUCACAGUCACAGAGUGAGUAAGUUUCAUUUAAAUCAUUUGUUACAUAGUGAUCGUCCUCACAUUGAGUCCACAGCUCCAUCACAGCUGUUGGGACAUUUUUAUUUUAAUGUCAGUAAAGAUAUCGUUAGAUUAUCAUGCAUGGACAGUAUUUUCAGUGUGUAGGAAAUCAUAAAUGAAGUAGUCUAUUAGUUAUUUGAACAGUUUUCUAAACUUACUAUUAGUGUAGAUUUACACUUUUGUUUAUUAGUGUUUUAUUAAGUAUCAUACAUCAGUUGAUGUACUGUCCAGUCUCACAUGUACGAUGAAUAUCACAUGCACCAUGGAUCUAUCACAACUGUGGUGGGUGUUUCUGAAUGAAGCUGUGAUGAACAUUAAAGUAAACGUGACCCAUUGAGAAUAGCUUAAUAAAGCAGCAAUGUUAUGUAUCCCAUGUCAAAAAAAGGCUUAGCUGUGUGGGGCUGGGCAGUUAAGAGUGCAGUCAAUUUCUUUCCAAACAUGUUCCAGAGAAAAAAAAGCUUCCUGCUGUUGUGUGAAACAAGCAAAGAAGUUUGUGGGAAAAACUGUAAUAGCAAAACAAUGUGCGGCAAGACUCGAAAAUACUGUGUGGAACUGCCCAGUUUGUCACUAUGAUCAACCCCUAUUCCAUUACACAUAGUCAUGAUCUGUUUUAAAUGUUAAAACAAUAAUCAGUGCAGCUUUAAAGUGCUUUAAUCAACAUGACUCCAAAUGAAUGCUAAUGUUGUUCUGUCUGGUGAAUGUAUAAUUAUAUGCAACUGUCAUAUCAUUUCCAUCUUUUGCUCCUGCCUGUCAGCUCUCCAUUUAUAGGAAGAAACAGCUCUUAUCUGUUUUGUGUCUUUUGUAUCAUCAGCAAACUGCCAAGUGCAGUUUAUUGAUGUCACCUUGUCUUCAGUUCAAAAUCCUGUAAUCGCUGAAUGCACCAAGGGGACAAGUUGGCCAUUGCAGCUUUACAGAGCUUAGAUUUAAUUAAAACCCAAACUGCCAGCCACAGCUACUCAGAUACUCAGAUUUAGGGUUUUCUGAGCCAAACCUUUUAUCCAUUAAGCAGAUCAUAGUGAUAUUGGGUAAUGCAACCUAGCUAGUUAGCAUAGACUUAGCAACUGUAAAUAAAAUGUAGUUGUCCAUUUCAAAUGUGUGUUUAAAUAUUUACCACACAGGUGUGGUGUCAGAUUUAAAGUUGUGUACUGAAAAUGGAAAUGAAUGCACUCAUGGUUAAAGUCACAUGUAGUGUUCAGUGUAUACAGUUAGUGUCAUUAUACUCACAUGACAUCUGAAAACUGCAUCUGUGGAAUUUUUGGACUGGGGAAUCUUGCUUAUUAGUAUGGGAUGCUAAUUUAAAGGGACAUUGCAUUCAGUUUUUUGCUAGAGGAGAAAUUUCUUGAUGCCUCUGAAAAGCAGUACCAGUGUCUUGCUCAGUGGGACUUCGGUGAGAGUAGGUGAUCGAGGUGACAGCAUUAAUGACUUUCUGCCUUAUAUCCAUGAACUGAUGGUCUUCUGAACUAUCAUCGACUCAUUUAAGCUUUCCUUUCAGUGGUUUUCAUAAAAAGUGAUUUAUCAGUCAAACCUAGCAGAGCAACACUGUUUCAACAUUGAUGUCUUGCCUUAUACUAACAUAAUAAAUUGUCUGGCAUUCUUCCGAAGCUGCAGCUCUUUAGAUAUUCAAGCACAAAGACUGAAUGAUAUUUUUUUUGUAUUUAUUAAACUGCAAAAACAUAUGUGGGAGUGACUGGAUAACAUACUGAAGAAUGGAAGUGUAAUAUGUAAUGUAGACAAAGUCUACACUGUCUAAUUCCCCCUUGCUGUAAAUAUAUAGUCACCUAAAAUUUAAGCCCUCAGCUCAGACUCAUGGAAUGUAUGAUUCACUUUUUUUUCUUCAGUGAUGUAUAAUGAGCUUGAAGUCAAAAUAUUUCUGUUGUAUAUGUCUUUUAGUUACAUGACAAUACAUUUCUAAGUGUAUCUAACAUGUUGAAAGGGUGUUAUCAACCCACAGGGGAACAGAGAUCGACCAACUAAAGACUUUCACAAAGACAGUGAUGAACUUCAUCAUAUUGUACCCAUUUAAAAUCAUCAUUUAAUAAACUAGAAACCAUCAGGAUGGACAUUUUUGUGUGCGGAAGGAUGCCUGGGAAAACAUCUUCUAAUACAGCUAACAGACGUUUUAUCACUAGAGAUGUUCUUCUGCAUGGGCUAUGAUAAAAGCUGCACAUUUUACAUUUUAUUUUUACCAAAUCCUUUUCCUGGUGAUACUGCGUGUAAGUAGGUUAGUGUUGAUAUUCAGUGAUAGAUUAUGUGUUGCCAGAGGGCCGCAGAGCCUGUUUUAAUUAGAAAUAGUUACAGCCUCUAAUUCUCUUCUACCCUCCUGUUACGUGUGAAGACCCUUCCUUGACGUCCUCAUGAGAUGACCUCCUCCUGACAUCCUACUCCUUUUGGCAUUUACAGCAUCAAUAAACACUACACAUUGUGACAAGCUGAUACCUGUUCUAACGUAUGUCAGAGCACAUUCCACAACAUGCCUCAGCACAUCUGCAUGUGUAACCUAUGAGUCUGUCUCUGAUAUUUUGCCUUUUGUUGUUUUAACAAACUGCAAAUAAACCAGAGGUGAAUUGCCUGAGUAGA